UACGAAGGGGGCAAGCGUUGUUCGGAAUUACUGGGCGUAAAGGGCGCGUAGGCUGCCGGCCAAGUCAGAUGUGAAAGCCCCGGGCUCAACCUGGGAAUAGCAUUUGGGACUGGUCGGCUAGAGAUCGGGAGAGGAGAGUGGAAUUCCCAGUGUAGAGGUGAAAUUCGUAGAUAUUGGGAAGAACACCAGUGGCGAAGGCGGCUCUCUGGACCGAUACUGACGCUGAUGCGCGAAAGCGUGGGGAGCAAACAGG
rnacentral:rRNA from 1 species